GAUGAACGCUGGCGGCGUGCCUAAUACAUGCAAGUCGAGCGAACAGACGAGGAGCUUGCUCCUUUGACGUUAGCGGCGGACGGGUGAGUAACACGUAGGUAACCUACCUAUAAGACUGGGAUAACUUCGGGAAACCGGAGCUAAUACCGGAUAAUAUUUCGAACCGCAUGGUUCGAUAGUGAAAGAUGGCUUUGCUAUCACUUAUAGAUGGACCUGCGCCGUAUUAGCUAGUUGGUAAGGAACGGCUUACCAAGGCAACGAUACGUAGCCGACCUGAGAGGGUGAUCGGCCGCACUGGAACUGAGACACGGUCCAGACUCCUACGGGAGGCAGCAGUAGGGAAUCUUCCGCAAUGGGCGAAAGCCUGACGGAGCAACGCCGCGUGAGUGAUGAAGGUCUUCGGAUCGUAAAACUCUGUUAUUAGGGAAGAACAAACGUGUAAGUAACUGUGCACGUCUUGACGGUACCUAAUCAGAAAGCCACGGCUAACUACGUG
rnacentral:rRNA from 1 species